rnacentral:rRNA from 1 species
GGAAUCUUCCACAAUGGACGCAAGUCUGAUGGAGCAACGCCGCGUGAGUGAAGAAGGGUUUCGGCUCGUACAGCUCUGUUGUUAAAGAAGAACGUGGGUAAGAGUAACUGUUUACCCAGCGACGGUAUUUAACCAGAAAGCCACGGCUAACUACGUACCAG